rnacentral:tRNA from 1 species
AGGGAAUGGUCGGGAUAGCUCAGUGGUAGAGCUAGAUGACUGAAAAUUCCUCGUUACAGUUUCAAUUAUA